AUGACCGCGACGCCGGGCCGGGCCGCCCCGCACCUGCCGGGAGCCGCCGGCUCGCCGCCUCCUCCCGCUCCCCGCUCACCGAGCAGCAGCAGCCGGCACCACAUCGGUUUCUUUUUUUCACAAGCAAACUUCAAAUUUACCUCCUGUGCUGCAACCGAUGUACCCGGCCGGGGCUCUAUCUGUGGCUGUGGCACCGACCCCUUCCCUGGCAGCGCCCUCGAUGCACGGCACUGCCAACUCUGUCAUGCUGCAUUUCACACUCAUCUCCGGCCAGCUCUGAGCAUUCCCUUACAACAUGACUAAUGCUCUCCGGGGCCCGGCCACACAUCCUGCAUGCUGGAGUCAGACCUCUCCAAGCAGCUCUCGGUGCUGCAGCGUACCCCUGCUAACAGCCUGCAUGCUUAUCGCUGAACUCUCAGUGCUUUCUCGCAAGUUGGACAUGUUGAUGGAAAUCUCUCUUUGCAAAGCUGUGAGUCUCUGUGAGCAGAACACACCCAUUAUGAGCUGCUCACUUCCUUGUUUCUGCAGUGCCCAAGGCUGAGCAGGUCACGUACUGCAGCGCGAGCCUGCAUCCCUAGUGAGGGGAUUGCUGCAUCAGCUGUGGGAGCUGCAGGACACUGCUGGCCAGGUGUGCCAGCCAGCUCCGGCAUCUUUUUGUACCUUGCCACUCAUGAGGUUUUUGCUAGUCUUGGGAUUUAACCCAACCUGUCUGGUUGGCACGGACUCUGCAGGGAGGCAGCACCAAGCAGCUCACAGCCCUCGGCCCCAUCCCUCAGCUGCUCUGCCAAGCACCUCGCUGGCUCCCUGCUUCCCGCGUGCUUCCAGGAACAGUCAGCGAUGGUGAGUGGGGAUGCCAGAACCAAGUUCAGGAAACACAUUUAAAUGAUCUGUGAGUCUGGGCUCAGGCAGGGUCACGAACAAAUGCUUCACGGCAGGAACAGCCCCAGAGACACUGGCACCUAUUCCAUCAGAAGACGCUGCGUGCCUGUGUCCAUUAAGAAGGAUGCCAGGUAUUGCAGUGCUUUUACUUCUGUUUCACCUAGGCCGGGCCUAGGAGGUGGUGGUCAGGUCCUUCCCUCUCCAGUCCUCAUGUUGUGCUCAGGGAGGUCAGUGGGUCUGUUCCUGGAGCAUAAGGAGAGAACAUCUACUUCUUUCUAUUAAUUGUGUUGCCUAUGCAGCGUACAUGGCACCUAAUCAAUACCUUGCUGCCUGGCUGUUACAAUACUUAGUAAGUGUACAAAUUAAAUCAUUACCCAGCGGAUAAGUUCACUUCAAACAUGACUGUGAACCCAAGAUUCAGAAG
rnacentral:lncRNA from 1 species